CUUUUGGUUUGAUGAAAGAAGUGAGCUCUCCUGGUCAGCAACCCCAAGAUGUGAAGCUGGGGAACUAUGUCCAAAGCCUUUGCCACCUCCUGCAGUUGGCUUCAAAUCUGUGUGGGCUUUGGAGCAAAAACUUUGGAGCAUCACAGCAGCAGUAAACCAAGGAAAGGUGUAAGAAUCCACCUGUUUUUUGGAUGGAUGAUGAAGGCAGACACACCUGAAGCAAGUGAGGUGGACAGGGCUCUGGCUGCCGCUGAGACCGUUCUGGUUUACCAAGAGGCCUGUGGUGGUUCCUGGGGAGGAAUAAUGCAGAAGGCAGCCUACGUUCGAAGACAUUGCAGUGACCCAUUUGCGCAAUGAUGGAAGGGGCCCACUAAGUGAAGCCUGAUUAGCCCAACCUGUCUGCCUCAUCCUGAGCACUGGAACUUGGACUUCAGCCUCAUUCCUCCUUGUCAUGAAGUAACUUCCUUUUCUGCAUUCUUGCUGAGCCAGUUGUCCAACCAGCUGGCCCCUUUCCUCCAUCAGCCAGCUGUAGAUUCUCCAUCGUCACUCUGGGAUGCUUUUGUGUUACCAGUGUCUGCCAUGUUUCUUCCAUCUUCCACAAGUAGCACCUUGGAGGCCUCUGGGAGAGAUUGUGCCAAUUCGUCCAUGCUGCAGCUCUAUGGAGGUCAAAUGAAACUACGUAACAUAAACGUUUGUGCCUCAAUGCCUCAAGUUUAAAAGCAGCGAGUCAAGUGAAGACAGCAAUAAAGAAAAGGCAGAACACGUAAAGGUUAAUUUGAAUGAGUCCUCGCUGAACAAGGCAACAUUAGGACAACUGCCUGCUCCCCCACUGAGAUGCGAUGACUCCUCCCAUGUCUCUACUGCAACCAAGGUACCUAUGGGUAAGACCAUGUCCACUGCCUAUCUGCUUCCUUGUCUUGUUUUUCUUUUUAAGAUGGCUAUUGCAUUAAC